rnacentral:misc_RNA from 1 species
GAGGCAGCGGCUGCAGGCUACCUCACCGAGCUCGUCGUUUCGGGAUUUCUGGUGUUCGCACUCGCCAGACACUAAAGACUCACAAAGGUGUGGGGCGGCAUCAUUACCGCUGACGCCUCGUACGUCCUCGUCUUGCAUCCCCCUCAUAGACCCAUAGAAGCACUCCUCUAUAUCGACCGUUGGGGCUCUUUUACUUUUCGCUCCCUCAAUUCAGCCCUCCCCCUCCCCCCAUCCCCUCCCACCAAACGACGACCCUCCUUGCUCAGUGGCACACACGAGGUACAGACGCGCGCUCACGCCCUCGCGCAGUGCCGCGUGUGAUGGAAUGCUCAGCCGCUCAUCAUGUCGCCUCCAGACAAUCGGCUUCUAUGUGGCGCAGCACCCAUGGCUGAAGGCUGCCGGGUUUGUGAAGAUUGGCUACAGCACCUGCCUUGAGACGCGCCUCGAAAUGGCCUCUUUCACGACGUGCUUUACACCGGAGUGGCACUAUGUCUCCGUCUUCGAGUGCCAGACCAGCAAGGAGGCGCUUCUGCUCGAGCAGUCGGUGCUGUUUUGCCUGAGCGCGAAACGUGUCGAGCACCGCGAGCUGAUUCGGCUCAGCGAGGACGAGGUGACGGAGACAGCGGCGGUGCUCGCACGCAAGCUGCGCCUCUCCGUUGUCCAACGCAUGCGUCCGCAUUACGGAGGCACGCUCGACGCAGCGUCAUCAGCCGACCCUCGGCAGCGGCCACGUCGGCACACUUUCACCGGCUUGAAAGCCACCGUGGCGGACGAGGAUCCAGACGCGGCCCCGCCCUCUCCCGCCAUGGUCUCUACCACCAUUGCGCCGUACCGUGAAGUUCUCGACGGCGUCAAGGCUGGCAUGCACACGCCUCACUCGUCUCUCCACGAAGACGUCUAUCCUGCGGUGAGUAAAGGCGAGGAGGAUGAGGAGGGCCUCUGCAGCGGAGACUUCAGCUUUCUCUCCACCUGGAUCGACCACAACGACUACUCCCUUGACGUGCUUCGGCCUUACCAACAGGAGGCCGUUGCCCGUCUCAUGGCAGAGCUCCGCGAGCGCAAGAAAGCCGUGUGCCAGAUGGCGUGCCGAUGCGGCAAAACACCGGUGGCGUACCACAUCAUUCAGCGCACCCUCCAGGAGGGUAGUAGCGGGCGCGUUCUCUACCUCGUCCCUGGGCUUUCCCUGCUUCGGCAGACGGUGCGCAAACUCGUCGCCUACGGUCUGCAGGACACGCCGCUGCUCCUCAUCGGCUCCGACCCACUCCCGGUGGUGCUAAGCGGGAACAAGUGUCAGUCCAUGACGACGAACCCCGACGUCAUUCGAGAAACCAUCCUGGGCAAUCCCAAAGUGGUUGUCGUCUCCACGUACCACUCAUCGCCGCUGCUCAAGGAGCUAAACAUCUUUCAGCUCACCGUUUUCGACGAGUGCCACCGCGUGUGCGGCAGCGCAGCCGAUACGGCGUUCAACACCGUGCUGAAGCUCCCACUGCAUGGUCAGCGCCUCUUCCUCACGGCCACCCCCACGUACGACACACCCAUCAAAAUGAGUGACACCGGCUACUUUGGCGGCAUCGCCUACCGCUACUACCUUCGUGAGGGCAUCAACGAUGGCUACGUGAACCCCUUCUCCGUGCGCGUCGUGCUGGGCGGCACGAUGUCGCACAUGAAUCCAUACCUGUUCGAGGCGAUGCGCAUGGUGGACAAGAUGCUCGUCUUUUGCCGCGACAUCGCCCACGCUCUCAAGAUGUACGAGGAGCUAAUGGCGGAGACACCCCCCAGCGACGUUGCGGCCUUCUCCGUGCUCAUCGCGCACUCGCGCAUGGGCGCCGCGGCCGUGGCCCAUGCCCUACAGUCCUUCACAACGGCGAAGCGGUGCCUUCUGCUGAAUGUGCGCCUUUUCCAGGAGGGGGUGGAGAUACCGGACCUCAACGCCGUCUUUUUCGCCGCGCCGCGAUACAGCUCGCGCGACAUCAUCCAGAGCAUUUGCCGGCCGCUGAACAGGAUGGAGGGCAAACCGCCGUCGUUCGUCUUUCUGCCAGCCGUCUAUGACCGCAGACACGCCGCGGAUCACCCCAUCAACCUGCAGAGCUUCUCCACUCUCAUCCCUUUCACGGAUGCUCUCAUGGACGAGGACCCGAAAUUGUUUGAGUACAUGAUCGACCCUCAGAAGAAAUCGUACGACAUCGACGUUGUCGGCGUUCGCUCGCUCAGGCUGACGUCGGAGAAGCUCCACCGAUUUGUUCUGCCAGCUAUUCGACGUGGUGUGCGCUACUCCACUCGCGACACCGACCGCCUCCACCGCGCCGCGCGGCUCCCGUGGAAGAGCAUCUUUGAGGAGAUGAAGCGCAUCGUGUACGACUGCAACCGCUACCCCAAGACAAACGACGCCUGGGUGGUCGGUGGUACGCCAGUGUCGAUGAACAUGUUCUACCAGUACGUGCGCCGCGGCUACAAGAUGUACGAGCGCGGUGACCCCACCUACCUCCAGGUUCACCAGCUGCGCGACCUGGAGAGCCUGCCGCAAUGGAAGCGCUACGGCGUGCACGGGCCGUACCCGUGGAAGGAGUGCCUUCAGACGCUGGAACGCUACCUCCGCGCACACAAGACGGUGCCGCCGCUCGACAUACACAAGGGCGGCUACGUCGGCCUCGACGCGACACCGUUUGAGCGGCUGGCGGGGUGUCUCAUGAACGUCAACCAGGCGGACAGCCGACUCCAAGUCGGGCUGCCACCAGAGAAGCAGGCGGACUUGGACCGCCUCUGUGCGGCGUACCGGCUGCGGUGGCGCAAGCGGCGCGCCUCCUCCGGGGCCAUUGUAAAGAACGACGUGACAAUGAUCACACAGUCCUACAUGCAGUUCAAGCUGCUGUACGAGAACGCGGACAAGGUGCCGGCGUUUCAAAGGUACCUCCACCUGCACUUCCCCGGAUACCCGCAGAAGCACGUGCGAAUGGAAACGCUCGACAACCUGCGCAAGGGCAUUGUGCCCCCGCGUCGAGCCCAGCAGCCCCGACAGGAGAAGAGGGUGAGAAAGCGGAAGGGCAAGCAGGCCGCCAGCGCGGCUGCGAAGGGCCGCACUGUUAUGUGUCGCAUCUGCCGAGAGCACGUUUCUGUUUUGAAGUGGGAGUCGCACCUCUCCAGCAAAGCACACCUCCGCGCGCAGAAGACGCUGUCGUGAGCGGCGCUCACGGGUGGCGACGACAACGCUGCUGCGAUCUCAUGAGCCAUGAACUCCGUCGACGAGCACAACCAC